GUACUCUCUUCAGCCACAUGUAUACUAAAAUUGGAACAAUACAGAGAAGAUUAGCACAACCCUUGCACAAAGGUGACACACAAAUUUGUGAAGCAGUCUCUAUUUUU
ensembl:snRNA U6 U6 spliceosomal RNA